rnacentral:lncRNA from 1 species
UUUCUUAAAAGUUCUGUAAGGUUGCACGGGUCACCUAAGUCGACUGUGGACCUAUUGUAGGGUCGGUAAGCUUUACUUAAACCCCUAUAUGUGUGAUCUGUCUGUCUGAUUUCUGUACCGAGCAUGACUUAUGAUAUCUGAAUGUAUUUACUAUUAAUUGCAUAAUUGCAUGACAUAUUUUGUAUGUUGCAUUGCAACGAGGU